ACGGGCGGUGGCAUGGCCGUGCCGCCGGGUCCGGGACCCGGCGGCACGCAAGGGGUGGGGGCGGGGUCAGCCCUGCUGCGGGUG
rnacentral:tRNA from 1 species